UUUUUUUCAGUCACAAUCGAAUGUCUCUGGUCAUUUCAUGUCUGAAUUAAGAGUGUUGCUAUACUGGGGACAACACUUUGAUGUAUCAUUUAAUAUGUAUUAUAUAGAGAAUAAUACAUGGCAAAAUCCGUAUCAUAUGCCGUAUCAUCCCGAGAUACCAAUAUCAGCCAGAAGGCCUUUAAGCCCGAUGGAUGAUAUUGGUCGAGGGUGAUAGGCAUGUGAUACGGAUUUUGCCAUGUCUUAUGUUUUCGUCCCCGAGGGUAUCACCAGCCCAGUAGUCAGCACUUCGGUGUUGACAUGAAUAUCAAUUAUGUGGUCAUAAAACUUAAAAUUUUUCGUAAAACUAAGGAUUGUCCCAGGA
rnacentral:lncRNA from 1 species